rnacentral:snoRNA from 1 species
ACGACCUUACUUGAACAGGAUCUGUUCUAUAGGAUCGUACCUCUGUAUCCUUUAACACUAAGGAGACAGGAACCUAAGCCUGGUUGACGAAUCAUGACCGUGUGAUCAUAGCGUGAUUAAUGGCUUGGUGUUCCCCGUGAAUCAUCAUGGCUGUAGAGGAUCGUUCCCCUGUCAUUGAUUUGGCCGGGGAUGGUCAUGCGGUUGUCUGACAGGC